rnacentral:rRNA from 1 species
GAUGAACGCUGGCGGCGUGCCUAAUACAUGCAAGUCGAGCGAACGGACGAGAAGCUUGCUUCUCUGAUGUUAGCGGCGGACGGGUGAGUAACACGUGGAUAACCUACCUAUAAGACUGGGAUAACUUCGGGAAACCGGAGCUAAUACCGGAUAAUAUUUUGAACCGCAUGGUUCAAAAGUGAAAGACGGUCUUGCUGUCACUUAUAGAUGGAUCCGCGCUGCAUUAGCUAGUUGGUAAGGUAACGGCUUACCAAGGCAACGAUGCAUAGCCGACCUGAGAGGGUGAUCGGCCACACUGGAACUGAGACACGGUUCAGACUCCUACGGGAGGCAGCAGUAGGGAAUCUUCCGCAAUGGGCGAAGGCCUGACGGAGCAACGCCGCGUGAGUGAUGAAGGUCUUCGGAUCGUAAAACUCUGUUAUUAGGGAAGAACAUAUGUGUAAGUAACUGUGCACAUCUUGACGGUACCUAAUCAGAAAGCCACGGCUAACUACGUGCCAGCAGCCGCGGUAAUACGUAGGUGGCAAGCGUUAUCCGGAAUUAUUGGGCGUAAAGCGCGCGUAGGCGGUUUUUUAAGUCUGAUGUGAAAGCCCACGGCUCAACCGUGGAGGGUCAUUGGAAACUGGAAAACUUGAGUGCAGAAGAGGAAAGUGGAAUUCCAUGUGUAGCGGUGAAAUGCGCAGAGAUAUGGAGGAACACCAGUGGCGAAGGCGACUUUCUGGUCUGUAACUGACGCUGAUGUGCGAAAGCGUGGGGAUCAAACAGGAUUAGAUACCCUGGUAGUCCACGCCGUAAACGAUGAGUGCUAAGUGUUAGGGGGUUUCCGCCCCUUAGUGCUGCAGCUAACGCAUUAAGCACUCCGCCUGGGGAGUACGACCGCAAGGUUGAAACUCAAAGGAAUUGACGGGGACCCGCACAAGCGGUGGAGCAUGUGGUUUAAUUCGAAGCAACGCGAAGAACCUUACCAAAUCUUGACAUCCUUUGACAACUCUAGAGAUAGAGCCUUCCCCUUCGGGGGACAAAGUGACAGGUGGUGCAUGGUUGUCGUCAGCUCGUGUCGUGAGAUGUUGGGUUAAGUCCCGCAACGAGCGCAACCCUUAAGCUUAGUUGCCAUCAUUAAGUUGGGCACUCUAAGUUGACUGCCGGUGACAAACCGGAGGAAGGUGGGGAUGACGUCAAAUCAUCAUGCCCCUUAUGAUUUGGGCUACACACGUGCUACAAUGGACAAUACAAAGGGCAGCGAAACCGCGAGGUCAAGCAAAUCCCAUAAAGUUGUUCUCAGUUCGGAUUGUAGUCUGCAACUCGACUACAUGAAGCUGGAAUCGCUAGUAAUCGUAGAUCAGCAUGCUACGGUGAAUACAAACCCGGGUC